CCGACGGGAGGUAGCAGUGGGGAAUAUUGGGCAAUUUUCUCAAGCCUUACCCAUCAACUCCUCUUUAAUUAAUAAUUCUUUCUUUUUUUAAACUUCUUUUAAGAGGGAAGAGCAGAAGACGGUACCUCUUGAAUAAGCCACGGCUAACUACGUGCCAGCAGCCGCGGUAAUACGUAGGUGGCAAGCGUUGUCCGGAUUUACUGGGUGUAAAGGGCGUGUAGCCGGGCUGACAAGUCAGAUGUGAAAUUCCGGGGCUCAACCCCGGACCUGCAUUUGAAACUGUUGGUCUUGAGUAUCGGAGAGGCAGGCGGAAUUCCUAGUGUAGCGGUGAAAUGCGUAGAUAUUAGGAGGAACACCAGUGGCGAAGGCGGCCUGCUGGACGACAACUGACGGUGAGGCGCGAAAGCGUGGGGAGCAAACAGGAUUAGAUACCCGAGUAGUC
rnacentral:rRNA from 1 species